ACCCAGUGUCACCAGGAUAGGGAGAUGGU
rnacentral:sRNA from 1 species